AAUGCACACAUAACCCAAAGGUCAUUAUUUUGUUGUAUAAUGCUCUUGCCUUGUGUGCUGAUAUUAUAAGGACCUUGUCGCCUUUCAAAAGCUGUUGUGCUUUUGAAAGUGAACUCAAGCGUUCUACAGAA